UGGUGGGGUGACUUGUCUGCUUAAUUGCGAUAACGAACGAGACCUUAACCUGCUAAAUAGCCCGCAUUGCUCCGGCAGUGCGCUGGCUUCUUAGAGGGACUUUCGGCUCAAGCCGAAGGAAGUUUGAAGCAAUAACA
rnacentral:rRNA from 1 species